AUUGAACGCUGGCGGAGUGCUUUACACAUGCAAGUCGAACGGCAGCACGGACUUCGGUCUGGUGGCGAGUGGCGAACGGGUGAGUAAUGUAUCGGAACGUGCCCAGUCGUGGGGGAUAACGUAGUGAAAAUUACGCUAAUACCGCAUACGAUCUAUGGAUGAAAGCGGGGGAUCGCAAGACCUCGCGCGAUUGGAGCGGCCGAUAUCAGAUUAGGUAGUUGGUGGGGUAAAGGCCCACCAAGCCAACGAUCUGUAGCUGGUCUGAGAGGACGCCCGGCCCAAUUGGACGUGAGACACGCGACAGCCUCCUACGGGGUGAAGCAGGGGGGAAUUUGGGAAAAGGGGCGAAGGCCUGAUCCGGACAUUCCGCGUGAAGGAUAAAGCCCCUCGGGUUGUAAACGGUUUUUUAAAAGAACGAAAAGGUUUCUACUAAUACUGGGGGCUCAUGACGGUACUGAAAAAAUAAGCACCGGCUAACUCCGUCCCAGCCCCCGCUGUAA
rnacentral:rRNA from 1 species